UUGACUUAUAGACAGGUCAAAAAAAUCAAUCCCCUUUUGCAAUCCAGAACUCAUUGUUCAGUGUAAGUUUUGCUAGAAAUAAGAAGGAGUAUU
ensembl:snoRNA